GACGUAGGGGGCCAGCGUUGUUCGGAAUUACUGGGUGUAAAGGGCUCGUAGGUGGCCAACUAAGUCAGACGUGAAAUCCCUCGGCUUAACCGGGGAACUGCAUCUGAUACUGGAUGGCUUGAGUUUGGGAGAGGGACGCGGAAUUCCAGGUGUAGCGGUGAAAUGCGUAGAUAUCUGGAGGAACACCGGUGGCGAAGGCGGCGUCCUGGACCAAUACUGACACUGAGGAGCGAAAGCCAGGGGAGCAAACGGG
rnacentral:rRNA from 1 species